UACGUAGGGUGCGAGCGUUAAUCGGAAUUACUGGGCGUAAAGCGUGCGCAGGCGGUUUUGUAAGUCAGAUGUGAAAUCCCCGGGCUUAACCUGGGAACUGCGUUUGAAACUACAAGGCUAGAGUGUGGCAGAGGGGGGUGGAAUUCCACGUGUAGCAGUGAAAUGCGUAGAGAUGUGGAGGAACACCGAUGGCGAAGGCAGCCCCCUGGGAUAAUACUGACGCUCAUGCACGAAAGCGUGGGGAGCAAACAGG
rnacentral:rRNA from 1 species